rnacentral:lncRNA from 1 species
AUGGUAGCUGGACCAGACCAAAAAUAUGGCGGUGAUAUCAUGGAACUGGUCUUUGGAAAAGUUUUCCCUGAACCAACUCCGUUUCUAGAUGAGGACCAGUUUGAAGCCCACAUACAGCCCCUCCCUCAUCAUCAGGAAACAUCAAUCCGUAUCCUGAGGACAACAGAAGACGGCAGGAGGACAGGAACUCUGAGACCUAGAUACCACCAGCACUGGGACACAAAGCACCUGUGUGUACAACGCCUACUAAAGCCUAUUUAUUAUAUUGUUCUGCUUCUUUGCUGUGAGGUUAAUACUUAGAAAAGUUGUAUAUUAAUAUAAACAAUAAAAAAAAUCACUGAUAGUACGUUUCCUCUUAGAUGUAAUGUCAGCCUUGUAAACAUUUAUUGCAUCCUGUAGGUAAAUACACAGAACAGGCUCAGAUCCAUGAUGAUCCAGCAUGCUUCUUCAUUCUGGCUUUCAUCUAAUGUAUUUAUUUAGAAUGCAGGUAAGAUUUAACUAUAUUUGUUAGCAAAGCAGACUGAUCUUGGGAAUUUCUCCGCAGCACUGAUUUCUCAACCUCUGUGUACAUGUUAGAAUUAACACGGUUACAGCUAAACACACACUUAAUUAAGAUAUAGGCUAUGAAUUGCAGACAAUAAAAACGUAAAGAUGUAAGCAUUAGAAUGAUAAUAAUCACAUUAAAGAACAUUUGGAGAAAUGUACUUUAUUUGUGACUAGAAUCUCAAACCUUUAAAUCAAAAUGUAACUGCUUUUUAUCCAUUUUCAGCCAUUAAGACACCCAAUAUAAAAUAAGACUACUUAUAAAAUUAUUUAUAAUUAUAUGUAUGUAUAUAUAUAGAUAGAGAUCUUAAUAAAAUGUAUUCUUUUAAUGGUGUUUUAAUGAGCUGUAUCAUUUUUUAAAACAUUUUUUAUAGAAAUAAAUAAGCAAGCAGCAUUCCUUGUGUGUGUGUGUG